rnacentral:rRNA from 1 species
UGGAAAAGCAAAUGUAGGUAUAAGUAACGAUAAAGGGGGCGGGAAACCCCCUCGCCGAAAGACUAAGGUUUCCUGAUCAACGCUAAUCGGAUCAGGGUCAGUCGGGUCCUAAGGCUCAGCCGAACGGCGAUGCCGAUGGCAGAAACGGUUAAUAUUCCGUUACUACCUUCAGGAGUGACGUGGAGACGCAGUAGUGACAGUGCCGCCAUCUGACGGAAUAGAUGGUUGAAGGGUGUAGGAGUCGAUCAUGGCAGGCAAAUCCACCAUGAGAUCCGAACCUGAUAGUAUGCCGCGUCCUUCGGGACAAGGCAAUAGUGCGCGUAAGCAUGCUGCCGAGAAAAUCCGCUAAACUUAAUCCUGCAGGUACCCGUACCGCAAACGGACACACGUAGUCGGGAUGAAUAUUCUAAGGCGCUUGAGUGAUUCACGGUUAAGGAACUAGGCAAACUGACCCUGUAACUUCGGGAUAAAGGGUCCCUACCCUUUUAUGGGAGGGCGCAGAGAAUCGGUCCAGGCAACUGUUUAACAAAAACACAGGGCUGUGCCAAAUCGAAAGAUCCAGUAUACAGCCUGACACCUGCCCGGUGCUGGAAGGUUAAGAGGAGAUGUCAUCGAUAAGAGAAGCGUUGAAUUGAAGCCCCAGUAAACGGCGGCCGUAACUAUAACGGUCCUAAGGUAGCGAAAUUCCUUGUCGGGUAAGUUCCGACCUGCACGAAUGGUGUAAUGAUCUGGACGCUGUCUCAACCGUGAGCUCAGUGAAAUUGUAGUAUCGGUGAAGAUGCCGAUUACCCGCGAUGGGACGAAAAGACCCCGUGAACCUUUACUAUAGCUUAUCAUUGAAUCUGGGCACGUGAUGUGUAGGAUAGGUCGGAGGCUUUGAAGCAGGUACGCCAGUAUUUGUGGAGCCGCUGUUGAAAUACGACCCUUUAUUUGUUUGGAUUCUAACCCGUGGAACGGGGACAUUGAUUGGUGGGUAGUUUGACUGGGGUGGUCGCCUCCAAAAGCGUAACGGAGGCUUCUAAAGGUGCCCUCCGGCCGAUUGGUAACCGGCCUUAGAGUGUAAUGGCAUAAGGGCGCUUGACUGGGAGACUAACAAGUCGAUCAGGUAGGAAACUAGAGCAUAGUGAUCCGGUGUUUCCGUAUGGAAGGGACAUCGCUCAAAGGAUAAAAGGUACUCCGGGGAUAACAGGCUGAUCCCUCCCAAGAGCUCAUAUCGACGGAGUGGUUUGGCACCUCGAUGUCGGCUCGUCACAUCCUGGGGCUGGAGAAGGUCCCA